GAUAUGACCGUAAUGAGACUAAUCACUCGAGUCAGGUAUAUCCUUAGCAAGCAUUUUACACAAUAUUUUGCUCUCUUAAGUGAAUGUUCAUGUUUGGUGAGCUUUAUAAAGAAGAUAUUGAUUAUUGAGUUAUAGAUUGUGGGGUUGGUGACCAAAACCAUUUUAUGUCACAUGGUUUUCCUCGACCUAUUGAUAGUCGACUUGGUUGUUUUUGUUCUUACUCACAAUAAACGAUCACUUCCUAACUUUGUUUUCUGGUCCAUCGACUGCACAUGCUCAAUUCUUGUCCUAGACCCACCCCACCCAACCUUACUCUAAUCAAAGAUUGCAUUGAAUUGAAAAUAACCUGGUUUCAAUUUACUACACUUCAACACAGAUCUAGACAUUUUAAGUGGUGGGGACAAAUUAAUACAAAUAAAUUUAUUGCAUUUAAUUCUUGAUGAUUGAUAUUCAUGGUGAAUACAACUCUUUUCGUUGAUAAAAGUGGAUAAAACUUUUGGGCUAUUGCAAUUGGCACUCAUUCUAUCUAAGAUAACUCAAGAAGUGAAAAUAGCAACAUAUUUUUUCAUAUGUACUGGUUUUUUUGUUAAUCCGCUGGUUUUAUAGGAGGAGGGUUCUAAUGAUCUAAAGUUUGAUCAAAAGUAAAUAAAUUUCAAUAAAAAAUUGUUCCAUCAAGAAUUAAACUAGGGUUUGGGCGAACAAUUUAUCCUUAUAGGAUCGUUAACCACUUGAGUUAAUAAAAAGAUUAUUAAUCCAUCCCAUUCUAUUUGAUAGUUUGAGUCAAUUUUUUCUUUUUCUAAUUUGAAAUAAUAUCUACACUUCCGCCUAAGAAAAGAGAAAGAAAUUGUGCUGAAUAGCGAGGAUGACAAUGAAAACCAAUUUAAUUUAUGUACUAAUUCAAAUUUGAAAAGUUAAAACAAAAAAUGCUUUUAAAUUUUGAAAAAUACAAAGAUUACCGAAGUUAAAUGAUGUCUAAGAUGAAAGAAAAUUUGGACGAGGUUUCAGAAAAGCAUUUACUUUUUGUUUUUUCUUUUUAUGAAAAGGAAAAUAAAAAUAAAAAAACUAAACACGAGAAAAACGAGUUUCCAAGACAUCUGCCAUCACAUAACUAAUUAAUGGAGUUGGAUAUUGAGUUCAUGACACGUUGCAACAAUCCAACUUAUAACCAUAUUUUGCUAACCAGUCCGCACAAUUAUUCAAGAAAUGAUUGAAAGUCAAAAUCCAAGGAUAAUCCUUAAACUUUUGA
rnacentral:lncRNA from 1 species